rnacentral:ncRNA from 1 species
CGGUGCCGCCGCCUUAACGCAGCGGGUAAAAGGGAAACAGGUGAAAGACCUGUGCGAUCUCGUCACUGUAAGCGGGUUGAAACCGUCAUGCAAAUGCAGCCACUGCGAAAGCGGGAAGGCGACGGCGUCUGAAAACCGCGAGCCAGGAAACCUGCCGAUUGG